GUGGCGGUGGUUCAGUGGUAGAAUUCUCACCUUCUGUAUGGGAGACUCAGGUUUGAUUCCUGGCCAGUGCA
rnacentral:tRNA from 1 species